rnacentral:rRNA from 1 species
CCUACGGGCGGCAGCAGUGGGGAAUAUUGGUCAAUGGGCGCGAGCCUGAAGCAGCCAAGUAGCGUGAAGGAUGACUGCCCUCCGGGUGUUAAACUUUUUUUUUAAAGGAAUAAAGUGGUGCGCGUGUCCCUUUUUGUAUGUACUUUAUGUAUAAGGAUCGGCUAACCACGCGCCAGCAGCCCCGGGAAUACGGAGGGUCCGUGCGUUAUCUGGUUUUGUUGGGUUUAAAGGGAAAGGAGCUGGGUUGUUAAGUCAGUUGUGAAAGUUUGCGGCUCAACCGGAACAGUGCAAUGGAUACUGGGAGUCUUGAGUGCAGUUGAGGUAGGCGGAAGUCGAGGUGUAGCGGUGAAAUGCGUAGAUAUCACGAAGAACUCCGAUGGCGAAGGCAGCUUACUAAACUGCCACUAACGUUGAUGCUCGAAAGUGUGGGUAGCAAACAGGAAUAGAUACCCCAGUAGUC